rnacentral:rRNA from 1 species
AGUGGCGGACGGGUGAGUAACGCGUGGUAACCUGCUCAUACAGGGGAGUAACAGUUAGAAAUGACUGCUAAUACCGCAUAAGACCACAGCACCGCAUGGUGCAGGGUAAAAACUCCGGUGGUAUGAGAUGGACCCGCGUCUGAUUAGGUAGUUGGUGGGGUAACGGCCUACCGAGCCGACGAUCAGUAGCCGACCUGAGAGGGUGACCGGCCACAUUGGGACUGAGACACGGCCCAA